rnacentral:lncRNA from 1 species
GCCACCAAAAUGACACCAAAAAAAUACUCUUCAGAUGUUUCAUAAUCUAAGAUUUGAUUUUUAGCUCCAACAUAUGAAAAAAUCAGACUCUAAGGUAUACUAGCAACACUUGCUAAAAAUCUCACCACCCUUCUUGCAACUUUUGCCACUCAAUUUUUCCUUGCCUUUUUCUCAAAUUUAUUUUAGAAUUUUUCCUAUGAUUCUCACACCCUUAUCUCUAGUUUC